AUACAAGAGAAGUAUUUUAUGACUUUCAAGUAGAGGUGAAGGCAAGUGCUUUACUUGUUAAUAAGUUGGUAGUAAGGGAAGGACCAUUAAGUAAAUAUAAUAUAUUCGACUAUAGAAGGAAUGAUAAAAUGUAUACAAUUAUUUGGAACCAUGAUGAACGGUUCGGUUCUUGUACUUGUCAGAGCUUCGAAUUUCGUGGGAUUGUUUGCAGGCAUUUAUUAGUUGUGUUCAAGGAAGAAUCCAUCAUAAAAAUGCCUUUUCAUUAUAUACUUAAAAGGUGGACACGAAAUGCGAAAGAAAAAAAUAAAAGUGACUCAACUCCUCUGUCUUCAAACAUUGAUGAGUCAACCAUCUUGGGGCGCAAUAAAAUGUCUCGUAUGAUGAACUAUUUAAUAAAUGAAGGAACGAGGACUCCAGAAAUAAUGGAACCUGUGUUAUCAGCUUUAGAAGAUUUGGUUGCAAAUGUUCGUCAAAAAUGUGGAGUCGAAGAAGAAACCAGUAUUGACAAGAAUGUUGAGGGUGGUGAAAGCAAUCUAUUGUUCAAUGCACAUUCUAAGAACUCUUACGUAGUACUUGAUCCGAUGGUUGUUAGUACUAAAGGCCGAACGAGUAAAAGAUUUAAAUCUGGCAGGGAGGAGAAUAGUAAGUUAUGUCGUGGGUGUAACAAGUGGGUUAUUGGGCAUGAUAAACGAAAUUGUCCUAUAUAUAACCAACUUGAUAAUGCAUCUGAAGAAGCCAGGUAUAUAUUUUUUUCUUGUAUUUUUAUUUGAUUUCUUACAUACAUUGCAUUAUUUUAAACUACAUUCAUUAUCUCCACAGUUAUGGCAGUAACGUUGAAAGAGGAAAGGGAAAAGCAGUUGGUAGGCCAAGAGGAAAAAAUAUAGUACAGGGUCGUGGUAGGAUGUUAAAUCAAGAUUGAUCGGUACCAAAGGCAUGGUGUCUUAAAUGUCUACAAGCUUGCGCCAUCGGCUACAUGAAUAACUUGAAAUUGUUUACUAAGAAGAUACCUAUUAUAGAUC